GCUAAAAAUCUAGCCCCAACAAAACUCAUGCACAUACUCACCUUCAUCUUUACAAUUAAACCAUUUUUACGUAUUAGUAAAGGAGAUCGAAAAUUCUAUUGGAGCUACACAAUAAGUACCGCAAGGGAACGAUGAAAUAUUAAUGAAAUAAACCUAAAGCUGAACAAAAUAGAGAUUAACCCUCGUACCUUUUGCAUCAUGGUUUAACAAGUUUAACCAAGCAAAAAGAUCCUUAAGUUUGACUCCCCGAAACUAGACGAGCUAUUUAAGAGCAGCAUAUAGAGCUAACCCGUCCCUGUGGCAAAAGGGUGGGAUGACUUUUAAAUAGGGGUGACAGACCUACCGAGCCUAGUGAUAGCUGGUUGCUUAAGAAAAGGAUUUUAGUCCAACCUAAAUUUAAUUCUAAUUAUACUUAAUAAAAUUAUAAAUUUAGAGUAAUUCAAAUAAGGUACAGCCUAUUUGAACAAGAAUACAACCUUAAGAAACGGGUAACCAAUUCAUCUUUACAAUAAAGUAGGCCUAAGAGCAGCCAUCUUAAAAAUAGCGUCAAAGCUUAAUUGUAUAUUGGAUAAAUACCUAAAUUUUUACACACCCCUUUCUACCGUAUUAAGCAAUUUUAUAAAAUUAUAAAAACUUUUAUGUUAAUACUAGUAACAAGGACUAGAAGUCCUCUUAGAUUUUCGUGUACGUCAGAGAGGACCUCCCGCUGACAAUUAACACUAUUAAAACCGAAGUAGCAACCCACCAAGAAAAUACUACUCUAAUUCGUGUUAACCUAACACAAGCAAAUCUCAAGAAAAAUUUAAAGGAAAAGAAGGAACUCGGCAAAUUUCAAUCCCGCCUGUUUACCAAAAACAUCGCCUCUUGCAUUACACAUAAGAGGUCCAGCCUGCCCAGUGACUUUGUUCAACGGCCGCGGUAUCCUAACCGUGCGAAGGUAGCGUAAUCACUUGUUCUUUAAAUAAGGACUAGUAUGAAUGGCAUCACGAGGAUUAUACUGUCUCCUUUUCCCAAUUAGUGAAACUAAUCUCCCCGUGAAGAAGCGGGGGUAACAUUAUAAGACGAGAAGACCCUAUGGAGCUUUAGAUUUAACAACACUUGUUUUCACUAACCUAAAUUUCAGAACUAUUUAUUUACCUAACAAGAUGAUUGUCAAUCUUAGGUUGGGGUGACCGCGGAGCAUAAAGCAACCUCCAUGUUGAAUGACAUAAAUGUCUUAUUCUAGAGCAACCGCUCUAAAAAACAAUAUAUUGACAUCCAUUGACCCAAUUUUUGAUCAACGAACCAAGUUACCCUAGGGAUAACAGCGCAAUCCACUUCAAGAGCUCCUAUCGACAAGUGGGUUUACGACCUCGAUGUUGGAUCAGGGUAUCCAAGUGGUGCAGCCGCUACUAAAGGUUCGUUUGUUCAACGAUUAAAACCCU
rnacentral:rRNA from 1 species